rnacentral:pre_miRNA from 1 species
CGAGGACAGGAACACAGACGACGACACACAGGGUCGUCGUCUGUGUGUCGUCGUCUGUGUUCCUGUCCUCGU